AAUAGACUGGCCCUGCCUAUGUUAAUAAUGCAGGCUUGAGUGCUGAGACCUGUAAAGCAGGUUUCGCCUGAGCAGAUCUGAGAUUUAAAAUCUCUCAAAAGCGAUUUAGCCGUUUAAGCUACAGUAACAAUUAUACAGAGUCGAAUAAAUGAAACCGAGAAGUCUAAUUAAACAAGAAUAUAACUUACAGUGGUUGCUGCGUCAAUAGGUAAUGUCGUCACCAGGUCCAGAUGCACACUGAUUAUUCAGUCUUUAACAAAUAAUAGCCUACUGAAUAGGCUACUCUACAGCAGUGAAUGAAGGAUGAGCCUAAAACAUGGUCAUGCAUCCAAAAUGUUUAUUUUUAACAAAAUAAACACUUUUUAAAAAAAAUUAUUCAGCCUCAUAUGUCAGCCUCAUAUGGCUGUUGCUGCUGCUGGAGGAGGCUGCUGCUGCUGCUGGAGGAGGCUGCUGCUGCUGAAGGAGGGUGCUGCUGCUGAAGGAGGGUGCUGCUGCUGGAGGGUGCUGCUGCUGAAGGAGGCUGGUGCUGGCAACGGCUGCAGGUGAUGACUGCUGAAAGAAGAGGAGGCUGGAGGCUGCUGACGGUGGACCGGGAAUGGAGAUGCCAAGUACAUCGAUGGCAACAAGUAAGGUGUUUGGCAGUGGCCUAGAUGUUAUGACCUUCGGUGCAGAGGUCUGUUGGUUCUUCUUUGCCUUCUUACUCUGACUGUUGCUGCCAAGAUACCCUUUAUGUUUAUCCUUCCUCUCAGCCCUGAUGCACUUUGAUGCAAUCCUUAACCUCAGCCUGAUGUAUGUUGAGAGAAUUUUUUCUUCAGGUCAUGGCAUGAGGGAAGGUUGCUGUCCAGCAACAUGGCUUCUUGUUCCAGCUGUGACACUGCAUUUGAGGACUCCAUGAGGGAAUCGCUCGUCCUCACACGGAACAGCUGCUCCACGUUCUGAACAAGGGUGAAAACCUCAUCAGAUGGACGGGCCCAGGAAACAGAUGAAGAGGAUGUCCCUUUCCCAAAGGAACCUUUUUGUUUUUUUCAAAAUGGUUAGGCUCCUGGAUGCCCUAGAGUUCUGUAUUGCUUUUUUGUAAAUAGUUGCUUACCCUAACCCUUUUUUGUAAAUAGUAUUGCUUUUUUGUAAAUAGUUGUUUGUAAAUAUUUGUAAAAUGCCCCCCCCCCCCCCCACGAUUGUUGUUCGCACAAUUAUGCUUCUGUUUUUCACUGUUUGGUGUCCAUUGUUCAGCCACUGUAUUGGUAAGCAACAAUUUGUUUUGGCCAAAAUGUGUUAUUCACACUCCUGACUCCAGUUUGAUGUGGUGCAUUCUCCUCUGAGUGGUCCUGAUUUCAGGCAGAGGUCAUGGCUUGGAAGGUUUUAUAUUCUGUAGUGUCUCAACAGAACCUAAUAUGAAUUGCUGUAUUGUCUCGUCGCUGGAUCACCUCCCCCUGGCAAAGUGGCCUCGUUAUUGUUGACAAACCUGUUUUUGUUGCUGGUUCAACAGGAGCUUCUGUAAAUAGUUUUGUAAAUAGUUUGAAUAUUUAUCAUAGUAAUAAUUUUUAGUCUCCCACUCUCAAUUUAAUUUAUCGUUUCUUUGCCCCACCAUGUUUUGUUGUCCAAGGGCACUAAUUUGGUCUGUGUUGAAGAUUGUUUUACACUUUAGAUUAAUCAAAAUUGUGUUUUUGGCUUUUUCUGUUGAACCCUAACCCUCUUUGUUCUCCUUCUCAUUCAUUUUACUUUUGUUUUGUUCUAACACACAUCCCACAUCACAUCACUUUUUCCAUACACUGUUCUUAAUACUUGUUCACACAUGUGUUCAUCCCUUUUACUUUGUUCUUCCUGUUGUUCUUGUUCAAACACAUAUAUAAAUUGUUCAUCCACUGUUGUGGUAAAAUGAUAUUCAUAGUCUUAACAUGAUCAUGCUAACAUGAACACAAACGUUUCCUUCCAAAAAUGUAAUCUAAGUAAUAGGCUACCAAGCUUUCCGUUGUCACCCUGCCUCUCCAAAUGCAAAACUGUCAAUAAAAAGUAUGCAAUAAUGCAAUUACAGCU